AUCUAUGGCCAUACCACCCUGAAGGCACCCGAUCUCGUUUGAUCUCGGAAGCUAAACAGGGUUGGGCCUGGUUAGUACUUGGAUGGGAGAUGGAGUCUCACUCUGUUGCCCAGGCUGGAGUGCAAUAGUGAGAUC
rnacentral:rRNA from 1 species